rnacentral:misc_RNA from 1 species
GUGAAUCAUCGAAUCUUUGAACGCACAUUGCACUCUCUGGUAUUCCGGAGAGUAUGCCUGUUUGAGGGUCAGUUUAAAUAAAAAUCGGUGUGGUUGCUGCCUUUCGUGGUGACGCACCGGAUUUGGGUCGUCUUGCCUUCGGUUAAGUGACCUAAAAUUUUGCAUGAUUUUUUUCGAACGAAUUUAAUUGUUUUAACGUACUUUUCGAUUAUAGAAUA